rnacentral:antisense_RNA from 1 species
AGACGGAGUUUCGCUUUUGUUGCCCAGGCUGGAGUGCAAUGGCAUGAUCUCAGCUCACUGCAACCUCCGCCUCCUGGAUUCAAGUGAUUCUCCUGCCUCAGCCUCCCAAGUAGCUGGGAUUACAGGCAUGCGCCACCACGCCCGGCUAAUUUUGUAUUUUUAGUAGAGACAGGAUUUCUCCAUGUUGGUCAGGCUCGUCUCGAACUCCCGACCGCAGGUCAUCUGCCCGUCUCGGUCUCCCAAAGUGCUGGGAUUACAGGUGUGAACCGCUGCACUCGGCUCUGGACUUUUCUUACACAUUUAUUUACACAGGGAUGGAUGGAGCUGUCGUGGGGUCCUGGGUGGGGCUGCCCUGAGCAUGCCUCCGGGGCAGGGUGGGCACUCACGUGGUGAUCUUGAGGACGUCCUUCAUGCUGGUCAGCGGGUCCGAGUUGUCAGGGCAGCGCAGGAGGCAGGGUGCGAAGAUAAUGGCCAGCGCCCCAGGCGACAUGCG